UAUUGUGUUAAAAAAUUCAUGUUACGCAUGAAAUUUACGGAUAUUGUUUCUAGCAAUUUUUAUUUUUGUGUGUAUUUGCAUCAUUAUGUACAUGACUUUUCGGAUGUUUUUCGAUUUUGAAAAACCACAUGCGUAAUAUAAAACAGAAAAGUCGUAACGCUUAGUCAAUAUUUGAGCAAAAUAUAAUAAUAAUAAUUUUAUUAACAAAAGUGUCUAAGUCGUAACGCUGAGUCAAUAUUAAAAAUAAUAAUAAUAAUAACUUUAUUAUAAGACCUAUUUCUAUAUUGUAUUUCUUAUUCCAAAGUUGGUAGUUUCAGAAAAUGCCUAGAGUUAAACCCGCUGUCAAGCCGGCGAAGCGGAAAUAAGCACGUACGGGUGGACCUAAACCAAAAAGUGGGAUCAGUCGAAUCUACAGAAGUUUCGUCAGAGGAAAACAUACCCUGUACAGACAUUAUUGUUACCAUGGUUACGACAAGUGUGGUUACUUUUUCAACUAGUUCCAACAAUGAAUCUAAUGUCAAUGUAGAGACUGCCAAUCAUGUUGAUACAAAAGGUAAUGAGAUCGAUGGUAUAUGCGGUAGUUUGGGGGCAAUUGCUACAGAAUGAAUCAAACAAAAAAUGUUAAGGCCGAAUACAUUGAUUUAGGACAGCUUCUAUCCAAUCCGGCCCGAUGGUUAAUAAGCAAACACUAACAGUCUCUAAUGGUCAAGUAUUAAUUGAACCGAAAUGGGCUACAGUUAAAAUUACAAAUGUACAUCAGUAGACUUACGCAUUUUUGAUUUUCUCUUAAGUUUAUGCCGCAGUACACUCUACAGAAUUUCUUUUUUGGCUUGUUUAAAUACAUCCACACUGUUUUUCUAGGGGCUAGCAGGUAGGCUGUCAGAAUGAGGUGGAAGUUUUAUAAUGAGCAAUUUCGAAUGAGAAUGGCAAGAAAUUCAAGUGUUUCAUGAAGAAUAGUUGAUUAGGAGCUUAAGCUACUGUACAUGGUACCAUCGUUUAUUGGUCCGGUGCAAAAACCUUCAGGGGGGGGGUGUUAAAUGCUAUGACUAUAACAAUUAUCUGGUUUGUGUAAAACAGCAGUGCCAUUAUUUACAUAAAUGUUUGAACUAUAGCGGGCCUUAUCCAUGUAAAGAGGCCCGUCUGCUAAAUAUCAAUAUGCUUCUAGAGAUUUUUCAGGUCAAAGAUACCCAUUAUAAUACAGGAACCAGGGACCUUCAUCAAGACCACCCCAGUCUUGAGCAUGAUUCCCCAGUGCACCACAAUCUGCAGGACCUAGGUUAUUCCCCAGUUAAAGCAGAAGUUCUUGCAGCUUAUUUACAAAACUCUGAUUAUAAUAGGAAGAGUUCAAAAAUUUUGCUAAAGGGGUUUUAUCAAGUUUUCUAAAUUACAAUAGUCCAAAAGGUAGCUACUAAUUGUUUUAAUUUAAAGUCAGCUAGAGAUAAUGAGCUUGGAAUUCUGAAAAAAGUUUUAAAAACUAAUGCUGGAAGAGUUACUGGCCCAUUCCAUUCAAGACCCUUUCCCAGUCUAAGGCUUUCAUUCACCUGUAGGUUUAGUACUGAAAAAAGUUGGAUCAUUUAGGUUGAUUAAUCAUUUAUCUUAACCGGAAAACUCGAGUGUUAAUUUCUUUAUUGAUCCAUCUUUCUCCUUAGUCAAUUACUCCUCAUUAGAUGAUGCGGUUAGGUUACUAAGUUUGUUGGGUAAGGGGGCCUUGAUUGGUAAAAUGGACCUCAAGUCUGCAUUUAGGUUGCUUCCUGUUCACCCAGCAGAUCUUUGAGCUUUUAGGUUUUAAAACAAAUAUUUUGUGGUGUCUUGUAGUCUUUUUGAGGAAUUUUCAUCAUAUUUGGAAUGGAUAUUGAAGCAACAGUCUGGACAGAAAUCAUUACUUAUAUGAUUUUUUGUUUCCUGGUAGGGCAGGUAGGAAUAUAUGUGACGAACUCAUGUCAUUCUUUGUGGGGCUAUGCGAGCAGUUAGGUGUCCCCUCAAUAGCCGAUGAUAAAACAGUGUGGCCUUCCACUCCCCUGACCUUUUUGGGUUUUGAGUUAUAUUCGGUUGAAAUGAUGUUAAGAAUCCCAGUUGAGAAGUACGUAGAAUAGUUUAAAGGAUUUGAUCAACAUUUUUAUGUCAAGAAAGAAGGCUACUCUAAAGGAAUUUAAGGCUCUUGCAGGUUUGUUGAAUUUUUGUUUGUGUGUCACUCUGUCAGGCCGGGCAUUCACUAGGCAUAAUUUAUGACAUCAUGCAAGGGGUCUGUAAACCACAUCGCUUUAUUAGGGUUUCUGUGGUGGUAAAGGAGGACUUGGAAGUGUGACUUACUCUUUUUAGAUUUGUUUAAUGGCUGCUGUUACUUUCCACAAAUUGACUGGGUAGAUGAUGAUCAACUCCAAUUAUUUACUGACAGUGCAUGGAAUUCAGAAUUAGUUUGUGGUGCUUUCUUUAAGAAUCAUUGGUUGUUUUUCAAGAGACCAAGUGAAUGGGUUGGUACUGAAGUAAUGAGGGACAUUUUUUAGCUUGUUCCAGUUUAAACAAUAUACAGUUCAAGGCUUGUCUUAUUAUCGUGUGGGUCACAUCCGAUUUGGCAUCCUGAUGAAAAAUAGAUAAUAGAAUUUAUGGCUAGUUGUUCAUUAAAGUAUCUGUCAUCUGCUACAAACAUAUCUGUCAGGUACAAGCUUUAAAUGUAAACUUGAUGGUACUUGAGACUUUGUUAUGAAAAAGAUGGUGGUAGGCAUGUCAGGACUGCAAAGUUCUGUAGAUUGCCAAUUAUAUCAAGAAUUAGGUCGUUGGGGAUCAAAAGUUUACAAGAGAUAAAUAAGAAUACAAACCUCAAAUUCAUUGAUGGCUAAAGACUCAAUUGGUUGUAUUACUUUUUAAGCACCUCAAGCAGUAUAGCUUGAUAGAUUUUCUAAUACCUUUAUGCAAAAUCUUAUUUUAAAUAUGAUCAUUUUUGUUUACAAAUAUUUCAGAGGGUGUAAGAAUAUGUAUUUUUGGAUCGGCAAUAAUAUGGUAUGAUUUUGGUUAUGCUAGUCAAAAUGGGGGGUUCAGUUUGGGUUAUCCACAUUGAAAGCUAAUAGCUGGUGGCAGGGAAAAGGCGGCAUGAGAUGUUGACAUCUCCUCCCAAAAAUCAAAUUAAUGUUAAGGUAUGAAGAUACCCCACAAUUAUAAUCUGGUUCUGCAUUGCGAUGGCAACGACAUUGGUCAAAUUCCAUCAUGUGUUUUGCAUUAUAGCAUAAAUAAUUCUUUUGAUUCAAUUUUAGUUAUGUUACCAAACACCAAUUAUUGGAAAUUAUUUGGUCUCAGUAUUACCUAGAUUGAUUUGGCAUAAAACUAGGGACAACCAUGCUCUUAAUAAAGUCGGGUUUCAAGUUUAUAGCUUUGUUGUAAUGAAACUUCUGGCACAUCAAGAGGGAUAUAUUUGUUGCCCAGAGUUCACUUUGGUUGAUCAUACUCUACUUUAAGAGGAUGGGGUGCACCUGUCAGAGCAAGGCAAUGAGAUAUUUGUUGAAACUUUGAGGAAAGCAUUGCAUAAUUUUAUAAUGUCAAGGGUGGGCUUUAAUGGCCAUGGCACGUCUAUUUCACUGACUAAAUAAUGUAAAGCAAACUAAAAUAGACACACAAUAGAUGUUACUAAUGUGAUUGUUUUAUACUCAUUUGUCUUGGUAUGCAAUGUUAAUUUAUUUGCUUUGCCUUUCUAUAAAAAGGAGGGGGGGGGGGUAAUCAUAAGCGUUCAGCUACCGCCAUUGUGGCGGUGGACACAUAGUGUCCAUUGGCGCAAUCUUUAGCUGAACUUAAAUAGGGUUAUAUUUAGUGAGCAUCUGUUCCCAGGGCUCGCUACAACUGUACAUAAUUAUUUUCAAUAUGUGUGAAAUUUCAAUUUGCUUAUUUGUGUCAGACUGGAUGAAACAUUUGCAAUGUAUUAUUUGCCAGUAGGUUGCUUAACAGUUUCAUUUGUAUAUUUGCCUAUUUCAUAUUCAUUUCUAUAUUUGCCUAUUUCAUGAUGAUUUUCAUUUACAUGUAAUUGCCAUUUGCCAUUUGGGUUGUCAAAAUCGCCCAAUGUAUUUGCCCAUUUCAUGAUGAUUUUCAUUUACAUGUAUUUGCCAUUUGCCAUUUGGGUUGCCAAAAUCGCCCAAUGUAUUUGGGUCGGUAACCUUGGUUACGAUUGUAACCAGUAACUAAAUGUAAUUUCCUGAAAAUUGUAGUGCUGCCAUGGCCAUUAUUCGCCAUUAAACUUUAAGAAAUUUAUAUAUGUGUGGUUUUCUCUAAUAAUUCGA